CACCAAGCAUAAACUGUGAGUUCCUUAAGGACAAGCACUUUUAUUUCUAUAGCUUCCUUGAGGCUAACAAAGAUCUUGUACAAACUAAGUGCUUAGGAUAGAUAGAUAGAUAGAUAGAUGAAUUAAUUAAAACAGGUUAGAGGAACAGGCAUAAAAGAUUAACCCCAGGAGGUAACCAGAAAGGGACAGUAAGUCAUCUGUUGUGUUACUCUCCCUUUAAAUACACCCUCACCAUCCAAUCGAUCCCCAACUCUUCUUGAGCCUGUUCCGAACUCCAAGAGGCUGACCUCUUAAGAACUGCAUUACCUAAGCCAUGUCGUUGGCAUUCCAGUGGGAGUUCCAAUGGAAGGCACCAGCAGAAAGACAGCACCAUGAGUGACUCCAGUAGCUGCAUUCCUCUAUGGCAGAGUUCCUGCCAGGUAACCCCUCCCUCAUCCCAGGCUCCAGCUCUCCCCGUGUGGGGUACACCACUUCUUCCCCUGGCCCUUUAAGCCUAGGGGUAAUAUCUUCCUGCUGUUGCUAGUCUCAGGUUGCUUCACCAUCCCUUCUUGGUUCCCUCAACCCUGCUCCCAUUCUAUAAAUGUCCCUUGACUAGGGGCGCCUGGAUGGCUCAGUCGGUUAAGUGUCUGACCGGCUCAGGUCAUGAUCUCACGGUCUGUGAGUUCGAGCCCCGCAUCGGGCUCUGUGCUGACAGCUCGGAGCCUGGAGCCUGCUUCAGAUUCUAUGUCUCCCUCUCUCUCUGACUCCCCCACUCACUCUCUCUCUCUGUCUCAAAAAUAAAUAAACAUAAAAAAAAUUUUUUAAAAUAAUAAAAAUAAAUGUCCCUUGACUAAAUUCUCUUUGGCCACACCCCCUGAGCCCACUGUUUCUUGCCAGAACCCUGAUCCAUACAUCUAUCAUUCAAAGCAAGACAGGCCAUCAAAGCCAGGCAAAGGGCCAGUGACAGGAAUACAAGACAAGGUGACUGAAUCAACAGCUGGGUACAGUUAAGGAGCACAGGGAGUAACAGGGUUGUCUAGGUUCUUGUGCAU